rnacentral:lncRNA from 1 species
UUUUUUCUUUGGAAAAAAGUCAUCAUCCUCAGCUCAUAUUUAAGCCAUGGGAGGUCAUGCUACACCUACUUGCAGAUGGAGUAUCUACAUAAUUAUUUAGAAUUUGACACAUAAGAUUCUCUAUUCCUUCCCUUUUUUAAAAAAUUUACUCAAUUGUCAAUUUAUAUCAAGGCAGACUCAUGAAUAUAUAUACAAUUUUUUAUCAUCAUUUCCAUAGAAAGAGUGAUUAGAAGUUUUAAAAGUAAGUUAUUUUUAAAAAGACAAACAAAAUGAUAUCUAUGUGAAAUUUCAAUUUUUAAAAUAUUGGAAGAAAAUAUAAGGGAAAAUAAAUCAACUAACACAGAGGAGAAUAUUUUUGCUAUAAUUUGACAUUUAUGAAAUAUAAUAAGAAAGUGAAAAGAUACAAGAUACAUGGCGAUUUAAAAAUUAUCUGGCAAAUAUGGAAAACAAACUAGUGAUUGCCAGAGGGGAAAAAGGUGGGCGGAUGAGUGAAAGAGGUGACGGAAAUUAAGAGUAUACUUGUCAUGACUUUCAGAAAAGAUAGCAGAGUAGGAGGAUCCUAAGACCACCUCAUUCCCCAGUAUCACCUAGAAUAACAUGUACAUCAGAAUAAAUAAACCACAAAAUGACCUGAAGACUAGCAAGACAUAUUCUACAUAGCUAAAUGUAGAGAAGAGGCCACACUGAAGAGAGCAGGAAGGGUGGAGAUCCUGUGGGGAUCUGCUAUAUGCAAAAGAGGUACAUACCUGCAACUGCCCACAGGAGGCAGGGACACCACAGCAGGUGUGGAGAGGAUAGGAGCAAAUCCCACACCAGGCACCGCAGGCACAGGAAACUCACUGGGAAGAUGAAUCCCUGUAAUAUUUGUCUUUGAAAACCAGAGAGGUCUAACUUUGUGAGUUCUUACAAUCAGUCUGGCUUAACAUCUAGGACUUUUAAAAAUCAGUGGCUGGGUUCUAGGAGAGCAAAAGGUGAUGGGAAACCAUGCCUCUAUUCCUAAAGAGAAAGUACAACAAACAGCCCUGCUGAGAUACAGCAUAGAAGCAGCAGUUUGAAAAAUGCUUGGGGUAUACUGAUACCGGAAGGUGAUUUAUUUACUAAUUUUAGAGCAUGUGCUGGAAGGGCAGGGAUCUUUGGGAGAAUUUUCCCCCUGCCCCCCAAAAAUGCUGACGGGCACCAUUUCCCUCCUCCACCCCUUGGCCUCGACACAUGGAUACCUGUGAGAACCAGCAAGGUAUGACCACUCUCCACCUAGCUUGCUAACAGCACUCCUCAACCCCAGUCUUCUGUAGACCCACUCCCUCCAUCCAGGCCUUACCACAUCAGGGAUUUUCCAGGGCAGUGGCAGGUUCCCUCCAGCAACAGAAUGGCAUGCACCUUGCUAUCACCAUUCACCUGGUCCUCCUGUAUUCCUGCAGAAUGCCCCCUUCAACAUGCCCUUGGCAGGAGAUCACUCAAAGUGGUGCCACAAGCCUGGUAGAGUGCAAAUACCCCUGAUAGAGACCGGAACCACUCCAAAGUGACUCCUGCCCCAGGGAGAAAAGAAAACCACACACACAGACUGUGGCCUCAGCCCACCAAUGAAAGCUUCUCAGAGGGCAGCACUUGGAGAAUGCCCUGCAGUUCAGUGUUACUGCAGCUCUAACAAAUGACUGACCUGACGAAACUCAAGCCCAAAGCAGUCCCAGACUAAUACACUAACACAGGGACCAAACCCUGCCUACAACAGGCAGAGAGAACCAGUGUAGAUGACUGAGCUGAAAGCAAACACGGCUCAGCCACAACAGUAGGGCACAGGCACAUAGGAGACACCCCUGAGGCACCAGGUUCUGGUGACCAGAGAACACUGCAUUACAAAGCAUUACAGGACCUCUUCUUCAUAAGGCCACUACUCUCAAGGGUAGUGAGAUAUAGUUAACAUCCUCACACACAGAAACAGGCACAGAGAGUUGGACAAAAAGUUCACAGAGGAAUAUGUCCCAAAUGAAAGGAUAAGUCAAAAUCAUAGCAAAAAAGUUAAAUGAAAUGGAGAUAAGCAAUAUGCCUGAUAGAGAAUUUAAAUUAAUACUCAUAAAAAUACUCACUGGACUUGAAAAGAAACUGGAGUCUCUCCAUGAGACUCUCAACAACAUGAUAGAAAAAUAUGAAAAAGAAUCAAUUAGAGAUUAAAGAAUUCACUGAAUGAAAUUAAAAAUACACUAGAGGGAAUAAAUAAGUCAUAGACUGUGGAAAAGCAGAACAGACCAGGGAUCUAGAACAGAGUAACAGAAAAUAAGUGAACAGAAGAAAGAAAAAAGAACAAUAAAAAAUGAGAAUAGAUUAAGGGAACUCAGUGACAACAUCAAGUGUAGUAUGUUCAUAUUAUAGGGAUCCCAGAAAAAGAAAAGAGAGAAAGGGGAGCAGAAAAUUCAUUUGAAGAAAUAAGAGCUGAAAACUUCCUAAAUCUGGGGAAGGAAACGGAAAUCCAGAUCCAGAGGACACAAGAGAGACCCCAAUAAAAUCAAUCAAAGGAGAUCCACACCAAGACAUG